rnacentral:rRNA from 1 species
GAUGAACGCUGGCGGCGUGCCUAAUACAUGCAAGUCGAGCGAACGGACGAAAAGCUUGCUUCUCUGAUGUUAGCGGCGGACGGGUGAGUAACACGUGGAUAACCUACCUAUAAGACUGGGAUAACUUCGGGAAACCGGAGCUAAUACCGGAUAAUAUUUUGAACCGCAUGGUUCAAAAGUGAAAGACGGUCUUGCUGUCACUUAUAGAUGGAUCCGCGCUGCAUUAGCUAGUUGGUAAGGUAACGGCUUACCAAGGCAACGAUGCAUAGUCGACCUGAGAGGGUGAUCGGCCACACUGGAACUGAGACACGGUCCAGACUCCUACGGGAGGCAGCAGUAGGGAAUCUUCCGCAAUGGGCGAAAGCCUGACGGAGCAACGCCGCGUGAGUGAUGAAGGUCUUCGGAUCGUAAAACUCUGUUAUUAGGGAAGAACAUAUGUGUAAGUAACUGUGCACAUCUUGACGGUACCUAAUCAGAAAGCCACGGCUAACUACGUG